AUGCCAGUUCUAGACCCCUCCCACCUCUAUGACCCAGUUGACCUGUCUGCACUAGAGGUGCCUUUCACUUGGGGCGAAAUUGCAACAACAAUUCAAAAUGCACCAAACAACAGGAGCCCGGGGCCAGAUGGAUUCACAAGUGAAUUUUACAAAAGUUUCCUUGGGCUGUUGAAGGAGGAUUUGCUGAGGUUUUUCCAAGAGUUUUAUGAGCAUGACAGUGACUUGCUCGGCAUCAACACCGCCAACAUUGUGCUGCUUCCAAAAACAGAAGAUCCAACGGAUAUUAAGGACUUCAGGCCAAUCUCUCUAGUCCAUAGUAUCCCGAAGCUUGCCACCAAGGUGCUGACAGUGCUUUUGCAGCGACUGAUCCAGAGUCUCAUCCACCCUCUCCAAUCUGGGUUUCUCCGAGGGCGCUGCAUAAUCGAAAACUUUGCUUUGGCAGCUGAGCUAGUACAAUAA
rnacentral:rRNA from 1 species